rnacentral:lncRNA from 10 species
UUGGAUUAUACCAUGCCCGGCCACAAUUUUUUUUUUUUUUUUUAGUGUAGAGGACUCUAGUAGAAAUGCUCAAAUGAAUUAAAUGAGUGAGAUCUAAAUUGCAGCCCCUCGUAACUUUUUUCUUUUUGAGAUGGGGUCUCACUCUGUUGCCCAGGCUGGAGUGCAGUGGCACGAUCUCAUUUCACUGCAACCUCCACCCCCUGGAUUCAAGCAAUUCUCCUGCCUCAGCCUCCCCAGUAGCUGGGAUUACAGGUGUGCGCUACCACGCCCAGCUAAUGUUUGUAUUUUUAGUAGAGAUGAGGUUUCACCAUAUUGGUCAGGGUGGCCUUGAACUCCUGACCUCAAGUGAUCUGCCCUUCUCAGCCUCCCAAAGUGCUGGGAUUACAGGCACGAACCACCGUGCUCGGCCCCCUUGUAACUCUUGAGAAUACAACAAGGUCACUGGAGCAAUUCUAUUAGAUAUGUAAUACUGUUUCAAUCUUUCAUUCAUUCAGCACCCAUUCUCAGUUCCUCUAUGUUCCAGAGAUUUGGAGAUAAAGAAUUGGUCCUUGCUCUAGAGGAGCUCAAAGUGUUGGGACAGGUGUGAAAUGUAGGAACCCAGAAAUAUCAAGUAGAGCAAAGCCAUGCAAUUAGCUCCUGGCUCCUCUGGGCCUUGGAUGGUGGCCCCAGGUAUGUGCUGUAGAGGAGGCCACGGUUGGCAGGGGUGGAGCUGGUUUCAUCACUGGCAGAUGUUGUCUUCUGUGCAGG